AGAAUCAACGCUGGCGGCGUGCCUAACACAUGCAAGUCGAACGAGAAAGUGGAGCAAUCCAUGAGUAAAGUGGCGCACGGGUGAGUAACACGUGACUAACCUACCCUUGAGUGGGGGAUAACCUAGGGAAACCUGGGCUAAUACCGCAUAAUACCUUCGGGCCAAAGGAGCAAUUCGCUUAAGGAGGGGGUCGCGGCCGAUUAGUUAGUUGGCGGGGUAAUGGCCCACCAAGACUGUGAUCGGUAUCCGGCCUGAGAGGGCGCACGGACACACUGGAACUGAAACACGGUCCAGACUCCUACGGGAGGCAGCAGUGGGGAAUUUGCGCAAUGGGGGAAACCCUGACGCAGCAACGCCGCGUGGAGGAUGAAGUCCCUUGGGACGUAAACUCCUUUCGAUCGGGACGAUUAUGACGGUACCGGAGAAGAGCCCGGACUAACUUCGCGCCAGCAGCCGC
rnacentral:rRNA from 1 species